UACGGGGGGGGCAAGCGUUGUUCGGAAUUACUGGGCGUAAAGGGCGCGUAGGCGGCCUACUAAGUCGGACGUGAAAUCCCUCGGCUCAACCGAGGAACUGCGUCCGAUACUGGUGGGCUUGAAUCCGGGAGAGGGAUGUGGAAUUCCAGGUGUAGCGGUGAAAUGCGUAGAUAUCUGGAGGAACACCGGUGGCGAAGGCGGCAUCCUGGACCGAGAUUGACGCUGAUGCGCGAAAGCCAGGGGAGCAAACGGG
rnacentral:rRNA from 1 species